AUUGGUGGCAUUUAGUACCUAUUUCCUAAUUUGUGAGCCAUUGACUUUUGACUACAUUAGCAAGGUUGGUCUUCUCAUUGUACUCGUGGGUUGAAGGCACCAAUGUCGGCCCACUAGAUUGUGCUACUGUCUUUUUGACUCUUGCAUGUUAUGUAGGGCAGGGCCCAUUUAUACACUUGGAUGGGCCCAUUAUUAUAUAUGUUGGGCUGGACCCAUUUAUAUAUUUUGUGUUAGGUCCAUUAUAUGCGGAGUUGGGCUCAUUUAUAUGAUAGGGUUGGGCCUAUACGAGUUGGGCCCAUUUACUUAUAUGUUGGGUUGGGCCAUUUACAUGGUGUCUAGUAUUUUGGGGAAGCUUACAAAGCUUUGUGCUUACGGUUUUGUGAUUUAACAUUUUGAGGUACUUCCGAAUCGAAAGUGAAGCGUCUGGCGUGAUCGCAUAAGAUCCCCUUAUGUUUUCUGCAUCAAUGAUUUUUGACUAUUUUUGAUAUAUUUGUAUUUUGGUGGUUUUGAGACACUUGAUGUAUCGUUUUGAUAAUUUUAAAAAUGGAAAUUUUUACCACUACUUUUGGGAUGUUACACAAAGUCUUUAACCAAUUCAAGAUAGAAAACUCUAAGAGAGAUAUGUACCAAUGGCAUAUGGAACAAUACUUAGUUCAUAUCAGUGUCCUAGCACUAAGGCUGACCUAGAGAAGAUGAAAGAUGUUCGAUAUGCUUUGACUAUUGGAUCCAUCAUGUAUGCCAUGAAUUGUACAAGGUCUGAUCUUGCUUGUGUUGGAUUAAGGUGUCUAAACCAAUAGCUAAAUUGGUAUAUUCUUGUAAUUAGAAGCAAAGUCCUUUUUGGGUUGCCCUCAUGACCAGAAAUAGCUAGAAUUGAUAUUAGGAGAGAGAAGUAUAAUUUAUUAGAUUAUUAUAUGAUUAAUAAAUUAACGUGAAAUCAGUUAGAAUUUAUUACUUAUUAAUCAGAAUUAAUUAGGAAUUAAUUCAAGAUUAAUUGGAAUUAGUUAAAGGUGCAAGGGGUGAGUUGUAAUUGUUCAAUAGUUGAACAAAAGAAGUAAUUCUAGAACCAGCCAUGGUAUGGACGGUUUUGGAGGGUGUCCUAGGCUGUCUGGAAUCCUCCUGUCGCAUGAAAGGAAAUUAUUUGAAUUAGGAUUAAAUCUAUUAUUUAAUGAAUUCAAAUCUUGUUUUUUCUACAAGUUAGCUAAACUAUAAAUAGGGCCCCUUGUGUCAUACCCCCGAACCAGACGGCGGAAACGUCCGGGGGCUGUCGUGACUCAAUUGAAUAUCAUCACAAUGAAUAUACAUGAAACAUAACAUCAUACAUUACCAAGCAUUGGAAUAUUACAACUAGUAGCGUUUACAUUCAGUACAUUGAUCCAUAAUAUUACAUGCCCAAAAGUAAAUUGUUUGAUACUAAUUAGAACAACAGCAAGACCUUACUGAGUACAUUUUUCCUUUUUCGAUUUACCUGUUACCUGAGAAUACAAGUAUUUUGAAAAACGUCAACAUAUGAAAUGUUGGUGAGUUCAUAAGUAAUGUUUGAAAUAUAGUGGUUUGUAUUGUUUUGAAAAUCACCAGAAAAUCUGAUACUUUCUGAAAAGAGCAUAGUAUAAAAAGGGUGAAGAUCCGUAAGUAUGCUUGUUUGUUUUCUAUAUAUGUAAAAGUACAAUUUGUAAAACUCGGUAUGUAACUCGCAGGUGUAUUAAUUGAAAACCCUAGGAAAACCCGAUGUUUUCCUAAUACUUUGCAUCAAAUGUUUUAUGUCUUGUUAUUUCGUUACGACAGGUGUAUUCGUUGAGUCCCGGUGACGUUGGAUUAAUUAUGGAUUGUGAAUUGUUAUAAACACACAUUAAUGAAAAUGACUAGUUUACAACUAUACAAACGAUCCCUUAGGCGUCGUUCGCACUAUUCACUUAAUCCAAUCACCCGGACUUCUCAUAGCCCCACAACCGAGGAGGAAAAGAGGGUGCGAAGCCCCCGAUAUUUUCCAUAAGUCGUUCAAGGCUAUCGUGAAUGCGAAGGGCCCUUAGCCCGACUCGCAUUUGGUGAAUUCUCGACUUUACUAGCAGCACCAGAGGACCCUUGGGGUCCAACAGCACAAAGCCUGUAAAAGUCCUUUUACACGGAAUUAGGUCAUAUAAGACCCAACUACAUGUAAGCGAGUUUCCUUCGGGCCUAAAGAUCAUGUCAUUGGGCUAGCUAGGCCCAACAAACACGAUUUGAAACUUUCGGGCCCAAAGACGGUGUAUCGACGUCUGGUGUAUUCCCACGUGUGUAUUGACUUCCCGAAAUUUCCGCGUGUGUAUUGAAGUUUCGUCGUGUUAGUAAUUUCGGAUUCAUUAUUGAUUCGAGACCGAAUCAAUUCGUUUGAUAACGAUUUUUGGUGUUGAAGGUGUAUUAUAAUUCGCCGAUAGUCGAGGUGCUAGUAUUUCAUCAUGUCGGAUUUAUUGUUUAAAACAUUAGGAUAUUUCAUUAUUGCAGCCCCUUUCUUUUGGAUAAUUUACACUUUUAACCCUUUGUAUAAAAAAAAUUUCUAUUUUAGUCCUCAAACCAUUUUUCUUGACACUUUAGUAUCAAAACUUGUAGAAAAGUUAUUUUUCAGCUCAAAGUUAUUUGAAAAACAGUUUUAGUCCAUCAAAUGAAAUUUUUCUCGGCUGAAACCCUUAUUUUCGCAAUUUUUACACUUUUGGCCCAAAGUAGAAAAUUUUUGCAUCUUUGGUCCCUUUUAAAUAUGAAAAGCAUUUUUAACCCUUGAAAUGGACUUGGAGCACUAGUAGUCCCCUGUUUUACAGAAAAAUACAGUUUCAGCCCCUCUAAUUUGAAAAUCUCGCAAAUUGGGCUUUAUUGGGCCGAAAAAUUCAUUUUUGGCCCAUUAUGCUUAAAAAUUUCACAUUUAAUCCUUCAAAGAGAAUAUUUCCAGAAAAAUACAUUAUUGAAACUGUUUUGACUCAUUUCAUCCAUCAGAAUUUGUAUUUUGUCAUUUUGGGCCCUUUAACCUUAUAUUUUUAACAUUUUGAGUCCAAAAAUGGGAUUUUUAGCCCAAGGAGUUCAUAUUAACCAACUUGGUUAUUUUUCUAGAAAUGAUUUGUGUGUAAUAAUAUGUUUAACACUUGUUUCAUACAUCCUAAUGCAAAUCUCGAUUUUAAGGACUUUUUGACUAGUUUCAACACCAUAAUCACAUAAGAACAUGUAAACAAACAUAGAAAUCAUACAAAGCAUACAUAUACUCAUAGAUCUACACAUUUGCUUGUAUUCCCCCCCCCCACAAAACUUAUAAAAACCGAAAAAUAGGGGGUAUGAAGCUCACCUUUGGGUGUGGUUUCGGUUUUGGAGAAGAGAUGGAAAGAAAUGAGGUGAUUUUCGGCCCUAGCAACCUUUCCUUGAAGAUCUCGAGUUUAGGAGCUUCUAAGGUGCAAGAUCACAAGAUUGAAUGAAUUUAGAAGAGAUUUUUAUGAAGUGAAGGGAGUUAGAUCAUAAGUUAGCCAUUAACUUACCUUAGAUGAUGAAUCACUUUAUGAAGAUCCUUAAGCUUCUAGCCAAAUUUUUCAAGAUCUUGGAUGAAGAAGAGUGGAUGAUUCUUGAGUAAUUUAGAGAGAGUUUUGUGAGGUGUGUGUGUUCAUCUCUUGCUCUCGGCCGAAGGAAAAAGAGGGAGAGGGAGAGAGAAGAUUGAUAAGAUAGUGCAUGGAUACUUGGGUUAUUUGCAUGGAUAACCCCCAUGUAAAAAUGAGGUGGCAAGGCCUAAGUCAACUCUUCCCCAUGGAUUGGGCUUGGGCCGAGAUUUGGAAAGGAAGAAGAGAUUUUUGGGCUUUAUUGCCCCUAAGCCCAUAUAAGAGUUAAGUUGAAUGAUUGUUGGUCCUAUAAAAUAUAAGUGUGAUUUUUAUACUUUGUUAGGCUAGUUUUGGUUAAUUAUGGUUCAUAAUGGUUCAUAAUAUUUAAUUUAUUCCAUUCUAGGCCCAAUAUGGCCCAAAAUGUUGAAAUAAAUGAAAGUGGGUCCAAUUAGAGCCCAUUUAAAGGUUCUAAGCCCAUGAUAGUCAAAUUGGAAGCUUAUUGGUCCAUUGAGUCCAAUAAGGAAGUCCUAGUCCAAAAUGGACCUAAACAAGAACUUCUAGGGUUUCCAAUUGCUUGUUGACUAUUUGUAAUACUUGUAUGGUGUAUUUGAUUGAAAAUUUUGAUGUCAUAGAGUAAGCAUCAUACAUGCUCUUAAGUUUUUGAUUCCACAUUUUACUUGAGUGUAAUGAUUACAAGACACAAAAUUUCUAGUUGUGACAUCAUCCCCUUGUUAGAGGGAAUUUCGUCCCGAAAUUCUGUUUUGAAAGCUAGAUUUGAGAAUGCUAGAAUAGGUGAGGGUACUUUUGCUUCAUUUGGUCUUCGCGUUCCCACGUGAAUUCUGGCCCACGCUUCGCGUUCCACCGUACUUUCACGAUCGGGAUGCGACUUUGCUUAGUACGCUUCACCUCCCUGUCCAUGAUUUCAACCGGUUCUUCAACGAACAGGAGAUUCUCGUUGAUUUCGAUCUCGUCAAGGGGAAUGACGAGUGUUUCAUCCGAUAGACACUUCUUUAGAUUAGAGACAUGGAACACGGGGUGUACACUGUUUAGCUCUACGGGUAGUUGCAGUUUAUACGCCACUGGACCUAUUCGGGCGACGAUCUCGAAAGGUCCAAUGUAUCGUGGGUUCAGUUUUCCCCGUUUUCUGAAAUGAAUAACUCCUUUCCAGGGUGAGACUUUCAACAGUACUCGAUCCCCGACCUGAAAUUCUAAGGGCUUUCGCCGUUUAUCGGCGUAGCUCUUUUGUCGGUCGCGCGAUGCUUGUAAUCGAGCUCUGAUUUGAACGAUCUUUUCCGUGGUUUCACGAAUGAUCUCCGGUCCUGUUAGCGCCUUGUCCGACGUAUGUACUUUUGCUAGUUGGGUAUCACCCACCUCAGUCCAACAUAACGGUGAUCUACACUUACGCCCCUAUAGUGCUUCGAAAGGAGCGACCUUGAUGCUCGAAUGGUAACUGUUGUUAUAUGAGAAUUCGACUAAGGGUAAGUGGGUAUCCCUAGACUUCCCAAAGUCGAUUACACAUGCGCGGAGCAUGUCUUCGAGCGUUUGAAUGGUUCCUUCACUUUGACCAUCCAUUUGUGGAUGAUAGGCGGUGCUCAUGUCGAGAUGAGUUCCCAGUGCUUUCUGGAGUGAUUGCCAAAAACGUGAAGUGAACCUACUAUCCCUAUCCGAGAUAAUAGACACUGGUACUCCGUGGAGUCUCACGAUUUCUCGAAUGUAUAUACGUGUCAAUCUAUCCAUCUUAUAGGAUUUUUUUAUUGGCAGGAAAUGGGCAGAUUUCGUCAGUCGGUCGACUAUUACCCAUAUGGUGUCUAGUCCAUCCGACGUCUUGGGUAGCUUGGUCAUGAAAUCCAUAGAAAUCCCCUCCCAUUUCCACUCAGGGAUUACCGGUUGCUGUAAUAACCCUGAGGGCUUCUGGUACUCCACCUUUACCUUGGCACACGUAAGGCACUUACUAACAUAGGUGGCAAUUUCCGCCUUCAUGUUAGGCCACCAAUAGUGUUGUUUAAUAUCCAAAUACAUCUUGUCUGAGCCGGGAUGAAUGGAGUAUCGCGUCUUGUGGGCUUCCUUCAUAACUACCUCCCUAAAUCCUCCGAGUUUAGGGACCCAAAUACGGUUCAUGAAAUAGUAUACUCCAUUCUCCUUUGCCUCUAGGUUCUUCUCCAUUCCGCGCAAUGCUUCGCUUGCUCUAUUUUCCGUCUUCAUGGCCUCUGACUGGGCUACUGCAAUUUGAGUGGCUAGGUGAGAUUGAAUGGUUAUUGAGAGAGUUUUCGUACGACGAUUAGAGUACUCCUUCCGACUUAAUGCGUCAGCUACCACGUUGGCCUUGCCUGGGUGGUACUUGAUCUCACACUCAUAAUCGUUUAGUAAUUCAACCCAUCUUCGUUGCCUCAUGUUCAACUCCUUCUGGUUCAAGAUGUGCUGGAGACUCUUGUGGUCCGUGAAGAUGGUGCACUUCGUACCGUAAAGGUAAUGCCUCCAAAUUUUUAGGGCAAAGACCACGGCUCCCAAUUCUAGGUCAUGGGUCGUAUAAUUCACUUCGUGCGUCUUUAGUUGGCGGGAUGCGUAAGCUAUCACCCUUCCACGCUGCAUGAGACCACGAAAUCUUCCGUUCCCUCCGGUAGUGAUAGUACCGGGGCACUACAGAGAGCUUGUUUCAGGGUUCGGAAUGCGACUUCUUGUUUGUCCGUCCAUUUGAAUGGUACGCCCUUUUGUGUAAGCGAGGUAAGUGGUUUGGCGAUCUUAGAGAAGUUUUGAAUGAAUCUCCUAUAGUAGCCUGCUAGACCCAAGAAUUGACGGAUUUCCGUGGGUGUUGUCGGGAUUGCCCAUCCUUCAACAGCUUUGACCUUAGAGGGAUCCACAUGAAUUCCAUCUUGGCUAACUACAUGACCUAGGAAGUUCACACUCCGGAGCCAGAACUCACACUUGGAGAGUUUUGCGUAUAGCUUUUCCGAUCGCAGAGUUUCUAGGAUUUGUCGGAGAUGUUGGCCAUGCUCUUCUUCGCUUCGGGAAUAGACGAGAAUGUCAUCAAUGAAGACGAUGACAAAGUUGUCGAGGAAUGGUCGACAGAUCCGGUUCAUCAGAUCCAUAAAUGCGGCAGGGGCAUUUGUUAGACCGAAGGGCAUUACGACAAAUUCAUAAUGUCCGUAGCGAGUUCGGAAAGCGGUUUUUGGAAUAUCCUCUUCCCGGACUUUGAGUUGGUGGUAUCCGGACCGUAGAUCUAUCUUAGAAAAAUAACUAGCUCCUUGGAGCUGGUCAAAUAGAUCAUCGAUUCGUGGGAGUGGGUAGCGAUUUUUAACAGUGAGUUUAUUUAACUCUCUGUAAUCGAUGCACAUUCUAAAAGAUCCGUCCUUCUUUUUGACAAAGAGGACUGGAGCUCCCCAUGGCGAGUAACUAGGGCGGAUGAAUCCCUUGUCCAAGAGUUCACUGAGUUGGCUGGACAAUUCCUGCAUUUCAGCAGGAGCUAGCCGAUAGGGUGAUUUAGCGAGAGGAAUUGCUCCUGGAACGAGGUCAAUUCGGAACUCCACUUGUCUCUCUGGGGGUACUCCUGGAAGAUCUUCAGGAAACACGUCUGGGAACUCACAUGCUAUGGGAAUGUCUUGAACGUUAACCUCUUCCUUGGUUUUAUCCACUAUGUGAGCCAGGAACGCCAAAUUGUUCUUUCGUAGAUGUUUCCGUGCCUGGAUGCACGAGAUGAGGCGAAGGUUCGUGCUAGGUUUGUCUCCGUAAAUUACUAGGGUUUCGUGAUUGGGAAGGUGAAGGCGAACGGCCUUCUCGUGACACAUAAUUUCAGCAUGGUGGGGGCUUAACCAGUCCAUGCCAAUAAUCACGUCGAAACUCCUAAUGGACACAGGCAUUAAGUCUAUUCGAAAGACAUGUUGGUUUAGGGUUAGGGUACAUCCGAGGUAGAUUUACCCGGUGGAUUCGGUUUUCCCAUUGGCCAUUUCCACCGUAAAGGUUCCAUCGAGCUUCUGGGGUUGUUGUUUUAAUAAAUGCUUAAAUCUAUUGCUUACGAAACUUCGCUCUGCUCCGGUGUCAAAUAGGAUGCAUGCAUAAGUGUGGUUUAGGAGAAAUGUACCGGUAACAACAGUGGGAUCCUGAAUCGCCUCUCCCUGACCCACGGUCAGCAUCCUUCCUGUUCCUCCGUUUCCGGGAUUGUUGUUGUUAGGGCAAUCUCGGCGGAAAUGCCCAGUCCUCCCACACCCAUAGCAGGUGUGGCUAGGCCCUGCAUUGUUGCCGCCGGUGGUGAUGUUGUUGUUGUUGCGAUUGUUGUUAUUGUUGCUAUUUCCUUGUUGUUGGUUCUGGGGACGGUAGGUCGUGCAGUACCUUGCCGUGUGUCCCCUUCGAUUACAACUGGUGCACUGCAACUCCUUGCAUUCUCCAUUGUGAUGGAAACCGCACUUGUUGCACUUGGGAAGAUUACCGGAAUAAGGUCUAGGAGCAUUUGAAGCAGCUGAGGCUGGAGCAUGUGGUGUGGCCGGAACUGGUGCGGUGGCAGCAUUAACUGCCACUGUCUGUUGCUUCUUAGAGGUCUCGGGGCCCUGACGCCCCUUCCUCUUGUUGUUCUUCCCUUUCUUGCCAUCACCUUCCUUCUUUCCCUCCGUCUCCACUGGCUUCUCACCCUUUUGGUUGUUAUGGUCAUACAGCUUCUUCGCCAAUCUUUUUGCACUGUCAUAUGUUUCGGGGUUUGUAGCUAUCACAUUUCCUUGGAUUGGUGAUGUCAGUCCCCAGAUGAAUCACUCAAUCUUCCUUCCUUCCGAGGUGAUCAUACCCAGGCAUAAUAAAGAUAGUUCACUAAAUCUCGAUAUGUAGGCAUCGAUAUUCGCAUUCUGCACAGUGAGGUUCCACAGCUCUUGCUCCAUUUUCUGAAUCUCACCUCGUGGGCAGUAUUCAGCCAUCAACAUUUCUUUCAUUUCCGACCACGGCAUGGAGUUGGCUACAGGGAGUGUCAUGGCUUCCACGUGUCCGUUCCACCAAGUGAGCGCUUGAUCAACAAAAGUGCAGGCUGCGAACUUCACUUUCAUCUCCUCAGGACAAUCGCAUAUCUCGAAUACCGAUUCCACCUUCUCGAUCCAUCGCUUCAGAGUGAUCACUCCUUCAGUGCCGUUAAAAGUUCGUGGUUUGGCGUUUUUGAAGUCCUUGUAGGUACAUGUUUUGGUGGGUCCUUGAUNAAAACUUAUAAAAACCGAAAAAUAGGGGGUAUGAAGCUCACCUUUGGGUGUGGUUUCGGUUUUGGAGAAGAGAUGGAAGAAAAUGAGAUGAUUUUCGGCCUAAGCAACCUUUCCUUGGAAGAUCUCGAGUUUAAGGAGUUCUAAGAUACAAGAUUAUGAUUUCAUAUGAGUUAAGAAGAGAUUUUUGGAUAUAAGAAGGCGUCUAAAGUGUGGAUCCAAGCAUUAACUUACCUAGAUGAUAUUUUUGUGAAGAAUCCUCCUUGCAAGGCCCUUGAAUCUCGAAAUUUUGAAGNUCUGUCAUGAAACGGAAAGAUGUUGAGUGUUUUGGGGUUUCUGGGAGGUUGUGACCCUACUGACUAGGUGCAAGGUACGAACUUAAACACUCCUACCAUUUAACAUACAAUCAUAGAUUCUCAACACAUAGCAAUUUGUAAUAUCAUAACAAAGCACGUAAAAGUUUACUAAUAUUAUCCGCAUUUGAUACAUGAAAAAUUUGCUCGUAAGAGCAUACAUGAGUGACACUAGUUGGACAGCAUAACGGCUCUAUGAGUAGUGUAGUCACUUAAACAUAGAGUCGGGGUACAUAGCAUAGUUCCUAAUGACCUACUAAGAUAAGUCUAUCCCUAACCGCGAUGAGCUGCGUCCGGAGGUGGUGCCAAGGAUGUAGAUGCUCCCUGAAGACGGGCCACCAGUCGUUCUGCGUCCUGGAGUCGAGACUCCCACCUUACCAGCCUCAUGUGGAACUCCCGAAGCACGUCACGUGUCUCCUGUUCCGCACGCUCGACCCUAGUCCACAACUGGCGUACCUGAUCAGCAGUGCCCUGAGCAAGAUCGCCAGUGUUCCGUAAUCGUUUCACCAUGACCGGUAGGGGUCGGUCGGCCGGUCCUCCGUCCCUCAGGUCAAAUAACUCGCGCGACAUGCUGAAUGGGGGUCGCUGUCCCUGCUGUCUGCUCCAUCUCCAAAGAUCAAUACCCAGGGAGGGGUAGGGCUAGUGGGGCCCACACGAUAAGCAGGCACCCUGUUCGGGUAAGGGGGGUUGAUGACUUCGGACUCCGCGUCCGAAUCACCCCCUUCACUGUCAUCGGGUUCCUCCUCGAAGUUCCCUUCGUCUUCUUCUGGUUCGGCAGGCUCGCCCUCGUCUCCUGCCUCCGGUUCCCCGUCAGAUUCCUCUUCGGGGUCUUCCUCAAGCUCUUCCUCAGGCUCUUCCUCUAACCAUCCGUUAUUCCCCUGAUUAGGGAAAUAAGGGUCUCCGGGGUGAUGAAAACCAGCCAUGCUGUCUGCGUGAGUAUGUAAAUAUGCUAACAUUAUUCCUAGGAUGCUACAACUAUUGUACAGACUAAGCAGGCGUUCUCUUUUUGGUGAUAAAGGUGUAUAGUUUUAGGUUCCCUAGCUAUCACGAUCUCAUCAGAAUGUGUGUUAGUUAUACUUUGGAGAGAAUGUAGUUGAUCAGGCUACAUCCAAUCCUUGGUACCGCUAAGAACAGUCUUGAAUUAACCGAGAUACUAGCAUUAUCUUCUUUGGUUCUGCGUUAUGUUCCUUAUUCCUAAUACAAGCAAAGGUGUUUUAUUGUUGUAUUUUACUUGUUUUGUUCAGAGUUAUGUUAGUCCCUCUUUUGGGUUUAUAGUUGCAUAUCAAUGUAUGGUUAGAUAUGCUAGUUCACUAUAAACAGAGCUCUGAUACCAACAUAUCACACCCCCGAACCAGACGGCGGAAACGUCCGGGGGCUGUCGUGACUCAAUUGAAUACCAUCACAAUGAAUAUACAUGAAACAUAACAUCAUACAUUACCAAGCAUUGGAAUAUUACAACUAGUAGCGUUUACAUUCAGUACAUUGAUCCAUAAUAUUACAUGCCCAAAAGUAAAUUGCUUGAUACUAAUUAGAACAACAGCAAGACGUUACUGAGUACAUUUUUCCUUUUUCGAUUUACCUGUUACCUGAGAAUACAAGUAUUUUGAAAAACGUCAACAUAUGAAAUGUUGGUGAGUUCAUAAGUAAUGUUUGAAAUAUAGUGGUUUGUAUUGUUUUGAAAAUCACCAGAAAAUCUGAUACUUUCUGAAAAGAGCAUAGUAUAAAAAGUGUGAAGAUCCGUAAGUAUGCUUGUUUGUUUCUAUAAAUGUAAAAGUACAAUUUGUAAAACUCGGUAUGUAACUCGUAGGUGUAUUAAUUGAAAACCCUAGGAAAACCCGAUGUUUUCCUAAUACUUUGCAUCAAAUGAUUUAUAUCUUGUUAUUUCGUUACGACGGGUGUAUUCGUUGAGUCCCGGUGACGUUGGAUUAAUUAUGGAUUGUGAAUUGUUAUAAACACACAUUAAUGAAAAUGACUAGUUUACAACUAUACAAACGAUCCCUUAGGCGUCGUUCGCACUAUUCACUUAAUCCAAUCACCCGGACUUCUCAUAGCCCCACAACCGAGGAGGAAAAGAGGGUGCGAAGCCCCCGAUAUUUUCCAUAAGUCGUUCAAGGCUAUCGUGAAUGCGAAGGGCCCUUAGCCCGACUCGCAUUUGGUGAAUUCUCGACUUUACUAGCAGCACCAGAGGACCCUUGGGGUCCAACAGCACAAAGCCUGUAAAAGUCCUUUUACACGGAAUUAGGUCAUAUAAGACCCAACUACAUGUAAGCGAGUUUCCUUCGGGCCUAAAGAUCAUGUCAUUGGGCUAGCUAGGCCCAACAAGCACGAUUUGAAACUUUCGGGCCCAAAGACGGUGUAUCGACGUCUGGUGUAUUCCCACGUGUGUAUUGACUUCCCGAAAUUUCCGCGUGUGUAUUGAAGUCUCGUCGUGUUAGUAAUUUCGGAUUCAUUAUUGAUUCGAGACCGAAUCAAUUCGUUUGAUAACGAUUUUUGGUGUUGAAGGUGUAUUAUAUUUCGCCGAUAGUCGAGGUACUAGUAUUUCAUCAUGUCGGAUUUAUUGUUUAAAACAUUAGAAUUUUACAUUUUUGCAGCCCCUUUCUUUUGGAUAAAUUUACACUUUUGACCCUUUGUAUAAAAGAAUUUCUAUUUUAGUCCUUAAACCAUUUUUCUUGACACUUUAGUAUCAAAACUUGUAGAAAAGGUAUUUUUCAGCUCAAAGUUAUUUGAAAAACAGUUUUAGUCCCUCAAAUGAAAUUUUUCUCGGCUGAAACCCUUAUUUUCGCAAUUUUUACACUUUUGGCCCAAAAUAGAAAAUUUUUGCAUCUUUGGUCCCUUUUAAAUAUGAAAAGCAUUUUUAACCCUUGAAAUGGACUUGGAGCACUAGUAGUCCCCUGUUUUACAGAAAAAUAUAGUUUCAGCCCCUCUAAUUUGAAAAUCUCGCAAUUUGGGCUUUAUUGGGCCGAAAUAUUCAUUUUUGGCCCAUUAUGCUUAAAAAUUCACAUUUUAAUCCUUCCAAAGAGUAAAUUUCUGGAAAAUCCAUUCUUAAAACUGUUUUGACUCAUCUCAUCCCUCAGAAUUUGUAUUUUGACAUUUUGGGCCCUUUAGUUUCAUAUUUUUAGCAUUUUGAGUCAAAAAAUGGGUUUUAAACCCAAAGAUGUUCAUAAUAAUCAACUUGGUUAUUUUUCUAGACAUGAUUUGUGUGAAAUAACAUAGUUUAUGCUCAUUUCAUGCAACUUAAUGUAGAUCUCGAUCUUAAGGUAUUUUUUUGACUAGAUCUAACACCACAAUCACAUAAGAGCAUAAAUAUAAGCAUAGAAAUCACACCAAGCAUACAUAUACUCAUAGAUCUACACAUUUGCUUGUAUUCUCCCCCACAAAACUUAUAAAAACCGAAAAAUAGGGGGUAUGAAGCUCACCUUUGGGUGUGGUUUCGGUUUUGGAGAAGAGAUGGAAGAAAAUGAGAUGAUUUUCGGCCUAAGCAACCUUUCCUUGGAAGAUCUCGAGUUUAAGGAGUUCUAAGAUACAAGAUUAUGAUUUCAUAUGAGUUAAGAAGAGAUUUUUGGAUAUAAGAAGGCGUCUAAAGUGUGGAUCCAAGCAUUAACUUACCUAGAUGAUAUUUUUGUGAAGAAUCCUCCUUGCAAGGCCCUUGAAUCUCGAAAUUUUGAAGGGAAAGUGAAGGGAUUUGUGAUGUGUUCUUGAGAGUGUUUAGGUGAAUGGUUGUGUGUGUGUGUGUGUGGUACUAACGGCCGAGAACAAAGAGGAGAAGAGAGAGGGAGUUGAAGUGACACUCCUAGAUGCUUGUUGGUCCAUGCAUGGAGGCAUGUGAGGUAUAAGUGAGGUGGCACUCCAUAAGUCAACUCUUCACCCUUGGUUUUGGGCUUUGGGCCGAGAUUUUGAAAGAAAAAGAAGAGUAUUGGGCUUUAAUGCCCCUAAGCCCCUAUUAGAGUUAGGUUUGAUGAUUGUUAGCCCUAUAAAAUAUAAGUGUGAUUUUUAUACUUUGUUGGGCUAGUUUAAGUUAAUUAUGGUUCAUAAUAUUUAAUUCAUUUCAUUCUAGGCCCAAUGUGGCCCAAAAUGUUGGAAUAAAUGAAAGUGGGUCCAAUUAGAGCCCAUUUAAAGGUUCUAAGCCCAUGAUAGCCAAAUUGGAAGCUUAUUGGUCCUUUGAGUCCAAUAAGGAAGUCCUAGUCCAAAGUGGACCUAAACAAGAACUUCUAGGGUUUCCAAUUGCUUGUUGACUAUUUGUAAUACUUGUAUGGUGUAUUUGAUUGAAAAUUUUGAUGUCAUAGAGUAAGCAUCAUACAUGCUCUUAAGUUUUUGAUUCUACAUUUUACUUGAGUGUAAUGAUUACAAGACACAAAAUUUCAAGUUGUGACACCUUGGUUUGUAUAUUUCGUUCAUGGAGUUACCUAAAGGCAAAGGAAUGAAAUUCCCUUCAUAUCUCCUCCCUCCUCCUCAUUAUAGGGAUUCUGGUUUUGGGUAUGAGCCAUUAGAGGCAUCAUCGUUUUGGUUCUUGCUUUCUAAAGAACUUCAAGAGGAUUUGAUUUGAUUAUUUUCUAUAUUAAUCAAAAGGUAUGUAACUCUAAUCUUUAUGUUAAUUUCAGUUUUCAUUGUCCCUCUCUAGGGGUUUUUUUUAUGUUUAUUGGUUAUUGCUAUCAAUAGAGAAAACAUUGAUACUUUCUAGGUUGCAUGUGAACUUAAGGGUGUAAGUGUUUUUCUGCCACUUGAAUUUUUUUUUUAUAACCUAGAAAACUCAUCAGUGGUAUCAGAGCCUAAGUUUUCUAUUUGACUGUGCAUAUAAAUGAACUGAUCAAAAUUAGCGUUUAUGCAAAUGAAGCCUUAAAGCCUAAAAUUUUUAAUGAUUGCUAGGGUUCUUGAAACCCUAGCCUCCACCCUUAUUUUCGAAAGUUGGUAGCAUCCCUUCGACUUUCUUGUUUUCUUAAUUAUAAUUUUAAAUUCCUUAAAACUUGGAUAAUUAAAAACCUUUUAACCCUUACCCCUUAUUUUUGAAAAUUUAAAGGAUUAUUGGGAUAAGGAUUAAAUUUGAAUUCUAUGUUAAUUGUUAAUUGAAGAUAAUUAUUUAAUCCAUAAUGAUUUAAAAUUAUACUAUUAAUU
rnacentral:lncRNA from 1 species